rnacentral:ncRNA from 1 species
GCGUUCGUCCUGUGCGGUAGCAGUAAUGCCCGCAAAUCGCUCUUUGUGGAUUUAGCAGCAGGUAACGAACGCUU